UACAGAGGUCCCGAGCGUUGUUCGGAUUUACUGGGCGUAAAGGGUGCGUAGGUGGCGGACUAAGUCGGGUGUGAAAUCUCCGGGCUCAACCCGGAGGGUGCGCCCGAAACUGGAUUGCUAGAGGGUGGGAGGGGAGACUGGAAUUCUCGGUGUAGCAGUGAAAUGCGUAGAUAUCGAGAGGAACACCGGUGGCGAAGGCGAGUCUCUGGACCACUCCUGACACUGAGGCACGAAAGCCGGGGGAGCAAACAGG
rnacentral:rRNA from 1 species